rnacentral:rRNA from 1 species
GAAGCAGGGAUCGCAAGACCUCGCGCUCAUGGAGCGGCCGAUGUCGGAUUAGCUAGUUGGCGGGGUAACGGCCCACCAAGGCGACGAUCCGUAGCUGGUCUGAGAGGAUGAUCAGCCACACUGGGACUGAGACACGGCCCAGACUCCUACGGGAGGCAGCAGUGGGGAAUUUUGGACAAUGGGGGCAACCCUGAUCCAGCCAUGCCGCGUGAGUGAAGAAGGCCUUCGGGUUGUAAAGCUCUUUCGGCCGGAACGAAAUCGGGCGCGUGAAUAACGCGCCUGGAUGACGGUACUGGAAGAAGAAGCACCGGCUAACUACGUGCCAGCAGCCGCGGUAAUACGUAGGGUGCGAGCGUUAAUCGGAAUUACUGGGCGUAAAGCGUGCGUAGGCGGUUUCGCAAGUCAGAUGUGAAAUCCCCGGGCUUAACCUGGGAACUGCGUUUGAAACUACAAGGCUAGA